AUUGAACGCUGGCGGCAUGCUUUACACAUGCAAGUCGAACGGUAACAGGUUAAGCUGACGAGUGGCGAACGGGUGAGUAAUGCAUCGGAACGUGCCCGAUCGUGGGGGAUAACGCAGCGAAAGCUGCGCUAAUACCGCAUACGAUCUGAGGAUGAAAGCGGGGGACCGUAAGGCCUCGCGCGAUCGGAGCGGCCGAUGUCAGAUUAGGUAGUUGGUGGGGUAAAGGCUCACCAAGCCAACGAUCUGUAGCUGGUCUGAGAGGACGACCAGCCAGACUGGGAAUGAGACACGGCCCAGACUCCUACGGGAGGCAGCAGUGGGGAAUUUUGGGCAAUGGGCGCAAGCCUGAUCCAGCCAUUCCGCGUGAGUGAAGAAGGCCUUCGGGUUGUAAAGCUCUUUCGCAAGGGAAGAAAACUUACCCUCUAACAUAGGGUGAGGAUGACGGUACCUUGAUAAGAAGCACCGGCUAACUACGUGCCAGCCGCCGCAGUAACAC
rnacentral:rRNA from 1 species